GAUGAACGCUAGCUACAGGCUUAACACAUGCAAGUCGAGGGGAAACGACAUCGAAAGCUUGCUUUUGAUGGGUGUCGACCGGCGCACGGGUGAGUAACGCGUAUCCAACCUGCCCACCACUUGGGGAUAACCUUGCGAAAGUAAGACUAAUACCCAAUGAUAUCCCACGAAGGCAUCCGAAUGGGAUUAAAGAUUUAUCGGUGAUGGAUGGGGAUGCGUCUGAUUAGCUUGUUGGCGGGGUAACGGCCCACCAAGGCAACGAUCAGUAGGGGUUCUGAGAGGAAGGUCCCCCACAUUGGAACUGAGACACGGUCCAAACUCCUACGGGAGGCAGCAGUGAGGAAUAUUGGUCAAUGGGCGAGAGCCUGAACCAGCCAAGUAGCGUGCAGGACGACGGCCCUAUGGGUUGUAAACCUGCUUUUGCAGGGGAAUAAAGUAUGCCACGUGUGGUGUUUUGCAUGUACCCUGCGAAUAAGGAUCGGCUAAUUCCGUGCCAGCAGCCGC
rnacentral:rRNA from 1 species